GUGCUUACUUUGGCAGCACAUAUGCUAAAAUUGGAAUGAAAGAGAGAAGACUAGCAUGGCCCCUGUGCAAGGAUGUCAUGCAAAUUCAUGAAACAUUUCAUGUUUUU
ensembl:snRNA U6 U6 spliceosomal RNA